rnacentral:rRNA from 1 species
AUUGAACGCUGGCGGCAGGCCUAACACAUGCAAGUCGAGCGGAUGAAGGGAGCUUGCUCCUGGAUUCAGCGGCGGACGGGUGAGUAAUGCCUAGGAAUCUGCCUGGUAGUGGGGGAUAACGUCCGGAAACGGGCGCUAAUACCGCAUACGUCCUGAGGGAGAAAGUGGGGGAUCUUCGGACCUCACGCUAUCAGAUGAGCCUAGGUCCGAUUAGCUAGUUGGUGGGGUAAAGGCCUACCAAGGCGACGAUCCGUAACUGGUCUGAGAGGAUGAUCAGUCACACUGGAACUGAGACACGGUCCAGACUCCUACGGGAGGCAGCAGUGGGGAAUAUUGGACAAUGGGCGAAAGCCUGAUCCAGCCAUGCCGCGUGUGUGAAGAAGGUCUUCGGAUUGUAAAGCACUUUAAGUUGGGAGGAAGGGCAGUAAGUUAAUACCUUGCUGUUUUGACGUUACCAACAGAAUAAGCACCGGCUAACUUCGUG